UGUUACUCUGCUUAAUAAUUGCAAAAACCCAAUUAAUUCAUUAAACAUUAUAUCUUUUUUAAUUCAAGACACGUUAGUGAAGACAAGAGUUUAUUCUAACUUAAAGGUGCUGUAGGGAACUUUUGUAAAAAAAAUAUUUUUUACAUAUUUAUUAAACCUGUCAUUAUGUCCUGACAGUAGAAUAUGAGACAGAUAAUCUGUGAAAAAAUCAAGCUCCUCUGGCUCCUCCCAGUGGUCCUUUUGCCAUUUGCAGAAAUACACCACUCCCGGUAAGAAACAACCAAUCAGAGCUGCGGUCCGUAACUUUUUUUGUGUGUUCAAAGUAUACAAAAUGUAUAUAAUAAGCGAGUACACCAUGAAUCCAUUUUCCAAACCGUGUUUUUGCUUGUCCUGAAUCACUAGGGUACACCUAUAAUCAGUGUUUAUAUUCGGACUAUUUUAGAUUGCUUCGGGGGUACAGCGGCGGAGUAACCCAGUACCUUUGUGAUUCUUCAUAGACAUAAACAGAGAGAAUUAGUUCCGGCUACAAUGUCCUUCCGCAACACGCAAGCAGUUCUGUUUAUUAACCGCUAGAGCGUCAAAAGUUACCGACUGCAGCUUUAAGAAAUAAGAUAAGACAUUCUUGAGGCCUAAUGCACUCUCGCUUUCUGUCAUUUAUUUUUUAGUAAUAUCUUAUAUGUAUUUUCUUGAAUUAUUUUUUGAUUGCUUGCUGAGCAUCAACAUUUGGACUUACAAGUGCAGGAAACCAAACAAAGAAAAUUAUUAUUUUAGGUACGCAGGAAUUAAUUGUCCCAACCAGACAGAGAAGAAUGAUUCAGAGGUAUGGAAAUAAAGGCCUAAAAAUGUUUGUCAACUGAGCUCCAUGCUGCCGAGUGACCGCCGCUCCCUCAGGCAUCAAUAAUACAAGAGGAAGUUAUUGUUCCGCUACAGGCGACAGCAACACAGAAGUAAAAGGUUUGUGGGGAGGCUGUGCUAGGCCUUUCACUCAAUCCACUCGGGUUUCAGCUGCUGUAGACAGGCCUCAGACAAGAACGAGAGGAUUUUGAACAUCAGUGAAGGGCUUGAUUGUGUGCUGACGGUGGCCUAGGGACACUUUUGUUUUAUGACAGCUGUGGGCGACCUGCUGGCUGCCACAUAAGUAAAACAAUACCCACCAGGACAAGGGUACCGUUUUACUGUAUGUCAGUGUUGGCACAGGUGAAAAUGACCUCAUGAGAUGUCAGAUGUCAGAAGAAUAAAGUAGGGCUCAUAGUGAUUAAAUUCUGAUUAAGUGAGUUAUGUAAGCGUUUGAGAAAAAAAAAAAGAGUUGCUUUUUUUUUAGUUAAAAAAUGAAAUAUAAAAAAUUAAUGAAAUACUUAAAAGUUUAUGUUGAUUUGGCAGUUAAAAUGAAUUAAAAUAAGCCAUUUCUAUCAGAAGACUUUGAAAGAAUUAUUAUACAAUUGAUUGUUUAUUAUACACAGCAUUAUCUGAAAGUGCUUUAUCUAUUGCAUACAGUAUCUACUGUGCCCUGUUUAAGCUUCAGUCGAAAGUAAUGACCUACCUUUGUAACUCCUUUAAUCUUAAUUACUAUGAAAUUGCCUUGUGAUACAAGAGUAUACACUCUUGAAGUUCCUUGGCCUUUCUCU
ensembl:lncRNA